rnacentral:rRNA from 1 species
CUACGGGAGGCAGCAGUGAGGAAUAUUGGGCAAUGGGCGCAAGCCUGACCCAGCCAUGCCGCGUGAAGGAUGAAUGCCCUACGGGUUGUAAACUUCUUUUGUACGGGACGAAACUUCCGAUCGUGAUCGGAACUGACUGUACCGUUCGAAUAAGCAUCGGCUAACUCCGUGCCAGCAGGCCGCGGUAAUACGGAGGAUGCAAGCGUUAUCCGGAUUCAUUGGGUUUAAAGGGUGCGUAGGCGGAAUAGUAAGUCAGUGGUGAAAGCCUGCGGCUUAACCGUAGAAUUGCCAUUGAUACUGUUAUUCUGGAGUAUAGUUGAGGUGGGCGGAAUGUGUAAUGUAGCGGUGAAAUGCUUAGAUAUUACACAGAACACCAAUUGCGAAGGCAGCUCACUAAACUAUCACUGACGCUGAGGCACGAAAGCGUGGGGAGCAAACAGGAUUAGAUACCCUAGUAGUC